rnacentral:rRNA from 1 species
ACUCCUACGGGAGGCAGCAGUGGGGAAUAUUGCACAAUGGGCGCAAGCCUGAUGCAGCCAUGCCGCGUGUAUGAAGAAGGCCUUCGGGUUGUAAAGUACUUUCAGCAGUGAGGAAGGCGGAGUCGUUAAUAGCGGCCUCGUUUGACGUUAGCUGCAGAAGAAGCACCGGCUAACUCCGUGCCAGCAGCCGCGGUAAUACGGAGGGUGCGAGCGUUAAUCGGAAUUACUGGGCGUAAAAGCGCAUGCAGGUGGUUCGUUAAGUCAGAUGUGAAAGCCCGGGGCUCAACCUCGGAAUUGCAUUUGAAACUGGCAGACUAGAGUACUGUAGAGGGGGGUAGAAUUUCAGGUGUAGCGGUGAAAUGCGUAGAGAUCUGAAGGAAUACCGGUGGCGAAGGCGGCCCCCUGGACAGAUACUGACACUCAGAUGCGAAAAGCGUGGGGAGCAAACAGGAUUAGAUACCCUGGUAGCACAGAG